rnacentral:rRNA from 1 species
GACGAACGCUGGCGGCGUGCUUAACACAUGCAAGUCGAGCGGUAAGGCCCUUUCGGGGGUACACGAGCGGCGAACGGGUGAGUAACACGUGGGUGACCUGCCCUUAGCUCUGGGAUAAGCCUGGGAAACUGGGUCUAAUACCGGAUAUGACUCCAUGACGCAUGUUGUGGGGUGGAAAGCCUUGUGCGGCUAGGGGAUGGGCCCGCGGCCUAUCAGCUUGUUGGUGGGGUGAUGGCCUACCAAGGCGACGACGGGUAGCCGGCCUGAGAGGGCGACCGGCCACACUGGGACUGAGACACGGCCCAGACUCCUACGGGAGGCAGCAGUGGGGAAUCUUGCGCAAUGGGCGAAAGCCUGACGCAGCGACGCCGCGUGAGGGAUGACGGCCUGG